CCUACGGGUGGCAGCAGUGAGGAAUAUUGGUCAAUGGGAGAGAUCCUGAACCAGCCAAGCCGCGUGAAGGCAGAAGGCUUUCGGGUUGUACACUUCUUUUCUGAGGGACGAAGAAAGUGACGGUACCUCCGGAAUAAGCCUCGGCUAACUACGUGCCAGCAGCCGCGGUAAUACGUAGGUGGCGAGCGUUAUCCGGAUUUAUUGGGUGUAAAGGGCGUGUAGGCGGGAAAGCAAGUCAGAUGUGAAAGCUCAGGGCUCAACCCUGAGCCUGCAUUUGAAACUGGUUUUCUUGAGUGCUGGAGAGGCAAUCGGAAUUCCGUGUGUAGCGGUGAAAUGCGUAGAUAUACGGAGGAACACCAGUGGCGAAGGCGGAUUGCUGGACAGUAACUGACGCUGAGGCGCGAAAGCGUGGGGAGCAAACAGGAUUAGAUACCCCUGUAGUC
rnacentral:rRNA from 1 species